rnacentral:rRNA from 1 species
GGGCACGACACCGGAGAGGGAGCCUGAGAAACGGCUACCACAUCCAAGGAUGGCAGCAGGCGCGCAAAUUACCCAAUCCCGACACGGGGAGGUAGUGACAAUAAAUAACAAUACGGGGUUCUUUAGGAUCUCGUAAUUGGAAUGAGUACAAUUUAAAUCUCUUAACGAGGAACAAUUGGAGGGCAAGUCUGGUGCCAGCAGCCGCGGUAAUUCCAGCUCCAAUAGCGUAUAUUAAAGUUGUUGCAGUUAAAAAGCUCGUAGUUGAAUUUCGGGGUUAGUAGGUUGGUCAUGCCUCUGGUAUGUACUGGUCUCACUGAUUCCUCCUUCCUGAUGAACCGUAAUGCCAUUAAUUUGGUGUUGCGGGGAAUUUGGACUGUUACUUUGAAAAAAUUAGAGUGUUUAAAGCAAGCUAACGCUUGAAUACAUUAGCAUGGAAUAAUGAAAUAGGACGUUCGAUCCUAUUUUGUUGGUUUCUAGGAUUGACGUAAUGAUUAAUAGGGAUAGUUGGGGGCAUUAGUAUUCAAUUGUCAGAGGUGAAAUUCUUGGAUUUAUUGAAGACUAACUACUGCGAAAGCAUUUGCCAAGGAUGUUUUCAUUAAUCAAGAACGAAAGUUAGGGGAUCGAAGACGAUCAGAUACCGUCGUAGUCUUAACCAUAAACUAUGCCGACUAGGGAUCGGAUGAUGUUAAUUUUUUAAUGACUCAUUCGGCGCCUUACGGGAAACCAA